CUUGAUAAUAUUUUGGUCUGAGAGACUUCUCUGCACUAUGUCGAUCUAGAGACUACGUCGGAUCAUCUAUAUCGGAGAUUAUGAGAUUUAGCUGCAAAAUUGACGACAUGGGAGGCCGAGAUGGACCAAAGCUUCGAAGAUUGGGGUUUCUGGCGAGGCGAGCAUACGAACCGUCGUCGUCGCCCUUGGUGUUCGCAUCACGAGGAUCUGCGAGAAAUUUGCAUGAAAUUUUCGAAAGCGUAGCAUCGAAGAAAUUUGUGCAUGCGAACCGUCGUCGUCGGCCUUAGUGUUCGCAUCACGACGAGGGAUCUGCAAGAAAUUUGCAUGAAAUCUUCGAAAUCAUAGCAUGGAAGAAGCUUGUGAGAUCGAAGAAGAUUGUAAUAGAUUGUAAUCGGCCUCGAUCUCCGAGACCUUGGCUGGGCCAUGUAAAGAGAAGCAUCUUCAGGCCCAUUCAUUGCAUAGCUUCCACUACCAGCAAGAUCUUCAGAGACCUUUUGUAAAGCUUGAAAAUGCAAAAAGGCCAUUGACUACAGGGAUCGUCGCUACUGAGAAGGCUUGGGAUCUUGAGAUGAUAAUGAUGAUGAAGAAAGCGACUUAGCUGAAUGAUAACUUAUUUGUUUGUUUGGUUUUUGGUGUGUGCGCGCCUGUUUCUUUUUUCUUCUGUUAUCAAGUUUCAGGUAAUAUAAUGAAUGAGGACGUUGGUUUACUGAGAAAACAUGAUUUGAAACAUGACACUAACAUGACUGAAUAACAAUAUAUUGACU